CCCACCUUCCAUGAGCUGCUUCGUGGCAGAGCCAUGUCUAUGAGAAUUCCACCCAGCAUGCGAUGCACGUGUUCUUCCAUGAUCCGGUAGCUGUAGGACUCCAGCAUCGUCUUCUCCUUGGCUGUCUGCGAUCUAAGCAAGGCCCUAAUGUGUGAACAGAAGAGGUACCCACACACAUUGGACUGGAGAUACCUGAUGAGAUGGAGCCAGUUAUUAAUGAUUUGGAAAUGGGACCGAUUGCUAAGUCAGGUGAUGAACAAUUACCCAGCCAGCUUCAUAAGCUGUCACUAGGGGUAAUGAUUCUUCCCAUGAGGAUCCAACUUUGAUACAAGCUGACAACAGAAUGGGUACAGCAGUUCAAACUGGGCCAGAGUGCAGAGGAUGUCAAAAAUUUCGACAACUCAUCUCAUCAAGAAUCUAAGGUAUACUUGCUGCAAUUCCAUCAAGUGAUGAAUCAGUUGACUACAACUCGGGGAAGGAGAGUAGAAGAAUGGACAAUGGACAAAGCUCAAAUCCUCAUGC